rnacentral:rRNA from 1 species
CACUAUUCAUAAUCGUAAAUAAGAUAAAAAUUCACCAGAGUACUAUGAAUAGCAUAUUUAAAACUCAAAGAGCUUGGCGGUGUUUUAGACCUAUCAGGGGAACCUGUCUCGUAAUCGACAAUCCACGUAAAACCUAACCCUUUGUUGUAUUCAGUUUGUAUAUCGUCGUCGUCAGGUAACUUUUAAAAAUUUAGAAGUUAGCAAUAAAAAUUAUUAUAAGUUGAUACGUCAGAUCAAGAUGCAGCUAACAAAAGGGCGAGGAUGGGUUACAAUUAUACUACUUAUAAUUACGGAUAAUUAAAUGAAAACAUAAUUUGAAGGAGGACUUGAAAGUAAAAUAAUUUAUAUAUAUACUUUGAAUAAGGCUCUGAAACGUGC